CACACGCACGUACAGUCCACCAAGCAGGCGCCAAUUCUCUUCUGCGAUUUUACACAGCAAUACGUUUCUUGUUUUCUUAGGUAGACAGUUCUUAACGUCAAGCAGAGGAGUGAUCAUUACAGCGAGUGGUGCACACGGUUAGAGGUACUUAGACAAACGGGGAUGUACCAGCAGAAGAAGUCAGUUAUAUCAGCAGCAUGCGGACGCCCACUGAUAUGUUUGAUCCUGCUACUUGUCAACAGUGCACUAACAAUAGUGAAUGGAGACCUCAGGGAACAAGGAGAGAGCCUGGGCCAGACCGUGAUACCAUAUUGGAUGUUUGAAGGGCAAGCCAAACGAGAAGCUGUAUUCCAGACCCGCUUCCCAGCCCGGGGUGAGAUACUGUUGGAGGCCCAGGGCAAAGAACUGCUGUUGCAGGUUGAACGUAAUGAUCAGCUGCUGGGCCCGAAUUUCACAGAGACUCAUUACGAAGACGGGGUGCCUGUCACCCUCAUCCCUGAUUACACGGAUCACUGCUACUAUCAUGGGCACGUCAUUGGACACUCUGACUCCUGGGUCACCCUCAGUACAUGCUCUGGAGUCAAGGGCCUGAUUGUGCUGAAUGCCAACAACAGUUACUACCUUGAGCCCAUUAAUGGGUUGGAAUCACCCCAUCACAAGAUGUACAGGACUGAACAUCUGAGAAUCCAAGGGGGGACGUGUGGACAUGAGCAUCAGACGGAGCAUCCUGGCCAUUUCUCUGAUUUCCUCCAGCCUUUGCAUCGAAGGAUGAGAAGAAACACACAGGGUUCUACUAAAUAUAUGGAGCUUUACAUUGUGGCAGAUCAUACACUGUUCAAAAGACAAAAUGACCUUGGAAUAACCAAACGAAGAAUUAUAGAAGUCGCCAAUUAUGUGGAUAAGUUCUAUAGGGCCCUGAACAUCCGAGUGCCCCUCAUUGGGCUGGAGGUGUGGACGGAGCGGGACCAAUGCAUAGUCACAGAGGACCCCAAAAAGACACUCUGGUCUUUCCUGCAGUGGAGGCAAAAGCUGAAAUCCCGCAAGAAACAUGACAAUGCCCAGCUGCUCACGGGUGUGAUCUUCACGGGGACCACCAUCGGCAUGGCGCCACUGGAGGGCAUGUGCUCCCUGGAGAACUCGGGGGGAAUCAAUGUGGACCACUCAGACUUGCCCAUUGGGGCGGCUGCCACCAUGGCUCAUGAGAUCGGCCACAACUUUGGCAUGAGCCACGACAACGAGGGCUGCUGCGUGGAAGCGACGGCUAAGCAGGGAGGGUGUAUGAUGAAUGCGGCCACCGGCCACCCCUUCCCACGUGUCUUCAGUCAGUGCAGCAAAAGGGACCUGGACGGCUAUUUCCAGAAGGGGGGCGGCAUGUGCGUCUUCAACAUGCCUAACGUGGAGGAGCUCGUGGAGGGCAGGCGCUGCGGGAACGGCUUUGUGGAGUCAGGGGAAGAAUGUGACUGUGGGGAGCCAGAAGAAUGCACCAACGCCUGCUGCAAUGCUAAAAACUGCACUCUGAAAGCAGGGGUCCAGUGCGCCCAUGGGGUCUGCUGUGAAAACUGCAAGCUGAAGCUGGGGGGCACCCUGUGUCGGGCCGCAGCAGGAGCAUGUGACCUGCCGGAGUACUGCACAGGGGCCUUGCCCUACUGCCCUUCCAACGUCUACCUGAUGGACGGCUCCCUCUGCCAGAAUGGCCGUGCCUAUUGCUAUAAUGGCAUGUGCUUGACACACGAGCAGCAGUGUCUGCAGCUGUGGGGGCCCGGUGCCCGUCCAGCUCAUGAUACCUGCUUUCAGGAGGUAAAUGCUGCAGGGAAUGAAUUUGGAAAUUGCGGCAAAAAUGCACUGGGGGUCUACGUGAAGUGUGAAAAGAGCGAUGCCAAGUGUGGCAAGAUCCAGUGUGACAGCAUCGCAGAAAAGCCCAAAGGCUCCAAUUCUGUGGCCAUUGACACCAGCAUCCACACCGAUGGCACGAAGAGGAUGUGCCGGGGCACCUAUGUUUACACCAAGCCGGAUGAGCAGGACGUUGUUGACCCAGGGCUCGUCAUGACUGGGACCAAGUGCGGAGAUGGGAAGGUGUGUAUCAAUCAGCGUUGUCAGAACAGAUCCUUCAGUGACCUGAUGAACUGCCUCACUCGGUGCCACAGACAUGGGGUGUGCAACAGUAACCAGAAUUGUCACUGUGACCAAGGUUGGGCCCCACCCUUCUGUGACAAGCAAGGUCUAGGGGGGAGUGUGGAUAGCGGGCCCGUGCAGUACCACGGUGAGUGAAAAGGCUUAGGUUCUGAAGAGCUGGCCCGUGCAGUACCACAGUGAGUCAGGCGGAUUAGGUUCUGAAUAGCUGGCCCGUGCAGUACCACGGUGAGUCAGGCGGAUUAGGUUCUGAAUAGCGGGCCCGUGCAGUACCACAGUGAGUCAGGCAGAUUAAGUUCUAAAUAGCGGGGCCCGUGCAGUGCCACAGUGAGUCAGGCGGAUUAGGUUCUGAAUAACUGGCCCGUGCAGUAGCACAGUGAGUCAGGCGGAUUAGUUUCUGAAUAGCGGGGCCCGUGCAGAACCACAGUGAGUCAGGCGGAUUAGGUUCUGAAUAGCUGGCCCGUGCAGUACCACGGUGAGUCAGGCGGAUUAGGUUCUGAAUAGCGGGCCCGUGCAGUACCACAGUGAGUCAGGCAGAUUAAGUUCUAAAUAGCGGGGCCCGUGCAGUACCACAGUGAGUCAGGCGGAUUAGGUUCUGAAUAGCUGGCCCGUGCAGUAGCACAGUGAGUCAGGUGGAUUAGGUUCUGAAUAGCGGGGCCCGUGCAGUACCACAGUGAGUCAGGCGGAUUAGGUUCUGAAUAGCUGGCCCGUGCAGUACCACAGUGAGUCAGACGGAUUAGGUUCUAAAUAGCGGGGCCCGUGCAGUAGCACAGUGAGUCAGGUGGAUUAGGUUCUGAAUAGCGGGGCCGGUGCAGUACCACAGUGAAUCAGACGGAUUAGGUUCUGAAUAACAGGCCUUGUUCAGUACCACAAUGAGUCAGGCGGAUUAGGUUCUAAAUAGCGGGGCCCGUGCAGUACCACAGUGAGUCAGACGGAUUAGGUUCUGAAUAACAGGCCUUGUUCAGUACCACAAUGAGUCAGGUGGAUUAGGUUCUAAAUAGCGGGGCCCGUGCAGUAGCACAGUGAGUCAGGUGGAUUAGGUUCUGAAUAGCGGGGCCCGUGCAGUACCAUGGUGAGUCAGGCGGAUUAGGUUCUGAAUAGUGGGCUGGUGAAAUACCACAGUGAGCCAGGCAGAUUUAGCUCUGAAUAGCAGGCCCAUGCAGUACCACGGUGACACAGGUGGAUUAGGUUCUAAGCAGUGGGCCAAUUCGGCACCAUCGUAAAUCAGGCGGAUUAGGUUCUAAACAGUGGGCACAUUCGGUACCGUUUUGAGUCAGCCGGAUUAGGUUUUAAGCAGUAGGCCCAUUCGGCACCAUCGUAAAUUAGGCAGAGUAGGUUCUAAACAGUGGGCACUUUUGACACCAUUGUAAAUCAAGCAGUUUAGAUUAAGUGCCUGUGGGGGUGAUGCCAUGACUGCAGUGUCUUAUAAAAGGCAGCCAAACAUCCUAACUUCCUACAUCAACUGGCACCUGGGCUCCAUAGGUAUGUCUUGUCAGUAUCAUUUUGUGUUCUUUUGCAUUCACAUGUUCAAUGUGAAGGCUCUACAAAAUCUCUAUAAAGUGUGUUUUGUUCUGACUUGGUGUCUUCAGGCGAACAGGGCCUAGUGGUGGGCCUUUUCUUGACCUUCCUGGUUCUGGUGCCUGGUGUCCUGGUCCUGUUCUGGUGCUGGAAGGUGAAGGCCCUUACCUUCCACAUGUGGUUGUCUCAAAGGUUGAUCAGAAAUGACAUUUCUGACCGG